UAGCAAUUACAUCCUUGUUUGCUCCUCCUUAAGUCAAAUAGUUACUUAAUAUUUAUUAGAUGUAAGCUACUUUUGUUCAGGUCAGAUUGAUGUGGCAUCUCCCUGUUACAUAAUUUUCCCCUCUCAUCUCAUAUUUAUUCAUGUCUGGGUAUGCCUAAAAGAUCUUGUUUUCAUUUUUUCCUUUUUGGAGAAAGUUCCGUUUGUUCCUGUUUUCUUAACCAGACUAUUGACCACUGUUGGUGAAGACUUGGGUUUUUGUUGGAGCUGCGAUUUAAAAAAAAAAAUCUUCCUCCUCAAGAUGUCUCACAGGCAGCACCGUUCUUGCUCAUCUCGCCUGAGGAUCCUUCUGAGACCAGGCCUCCUUUGUGAAAUAGUCCAUGCACCAGUAUGUCGACAGGGAGAUGAUUUUCCUCGCCUACUGCAGCCAUGUUAAUGACUCGGGUCCUGAACACACACUAAAUAGACUGCAAAGGGCCUAAAGAUAAACAACUUCAGCAGCAACCUCAUUUCCCCUCUCGUCUGUUUCAACCACUCGGCAUUUAGCAUAACCAGAAUACUAACCACUGGCCUGAUCAUCUGUCAUCAUUUGCAUCCGUUUCUCACUGGUUUAUGCCUUAUGUAUGUCUUGAAUGAUUCAUAGGUUACUGAGUGGCUUAACAAAACAAAAAACCUUCCUCUGAAACUACGUAUUAGGUACAGGGACUAGACUGGAAAUGAGAGACAAAAAACAAUAAAAACUAUAAGAAAGUCUGCCUCUUUGGAAGCAAAUAUGAAGAAAUGGGAGAGAGAGAGAGAGAGAAAGAGAGAAAGAGAUCUCAGGACUGUACAGUAUUGCACAUUUAAAUUUUCAACAUUUUGCAAGGAAGAAUUUACACAAAAACCCACAGCAUUCUGGUGGCCUCAAUAUAAUGUAAUGACAUCUUCAUCCAUAAAAUCAGUUCUGGUGCUUUUAAUUAGCCCAAUUAAUUAUUCCAAUGGUGUUUAAACUGUCACAUUAUCUCAAUCGGACCAAAAGAAUGUAAACACCUGACCAUCACUCCUAUAUGCAGUUCUUGCCACAAAGCUGGGAGCACUUGAUGGUACAGAAUGUCUUUGUAUGCUGUAAUAUUACCAUUCCCCUUAACUGGAGCUAGGAGCCCCAAACCAGUUCCAUGCCAGUAACCUUGUGCACAAAGCGAGUCCCUUGAGGAUAUGGUUUGCCAAGGUAGAAGUGGAAUAAUACUUCAGAGCUCUGACCUCAACCGCACUGAAUACCUUCAGUAUGACCUGGAAUGCUGGCUGCACCCCAGACCUCCUCAGCCAACAUCAGUGCCAUAGAGUGU